GGCCAGUUAGCUUAGUCAGUUGAGCAUAGCACUAACAGUGCUAAGGUGGCAGGUUCGAUUCCCGCUCGAUCCC
rnacentral:tRNA from 1 species